rnacentral:rRNA from 1 species
GCAGUCGACGCUGAAGCCUGGUGCUUGCACCGGGUGGAUGAGUGGCGAACGGGUGAGUAACACGUGAGUAACCUGCCCCUGACUUCGGGAUAAGCCCGGGAAACUGGGUCUAAUACCGGAUACGACCGUCGGACGCAUGUCUGGUGGUGGAAAGUUUUUUCGGUUGGGGAUGGGCUCGCGGCCUAUCAGUUUGUUGGUGAGGUAAUGGCUCACCAAGACGACGACGGGUAGCCGGCCUGAGAGGGCGACCGGCCACACUGGGACUGAGACACGGCCCAGACUCCUACGGGAGGCAGCAGUGGGGAAUAUUGCACAAUGGGGGAAACCCUGAUGCAGCGACGCAGCGUGCGGGAUGACGGCCUUCGGGUUGUAAACCGCUUUCAGCAGGGAAGAAGCGCAAGUGACGGUACCUGCAGAAGAAGUACCGGCUAACUACGUGCCAGCAGCCGCGGUAAUACGUAGGGUACGAGCGUUGUCCGGAAUUAUUGGGCGUAAAGAGCUCGUAGGUGGUUGGUCACGUCUGCUGUGGAAACGCAACGCUUAACGUUGCGCGUGCAGUGGGUACGGGCUGACUAGAGUGCAGUAGGGGAGUCUGGAAUUCCUGGUGUAGCGGUGAAAUGCGCAGAUAUCAGGAGGAACACCGGUGGCGAAGGCGGGACUCUGGGCUGUAACUGACACUGAGGAGCGAAAGCAUGGGGAGCGAACAGGAUUAGAUACCCUGGUAGUCCAUGCCGUAAACGUUGGGCACUAGGUGUGGGGGGCAUUCCACGUUCUCCGCGCCGUAGCUAACGCAUUAAGUGCCCCGCCUGGGGAGUACGGUCGCAAGGCUAAAACUCAAAGGAAUUGACGGGGGCCCGCACAAGCGGCGGAGCAUGCGGAUUAAUUCGAUGCAACGCGAAGAACCUUACCAAGGCUUGACAUACACCAGACCGUCCUGGAAACAGGUCCUCUUCUUUGAAGCUGGUGUACAGGUGGUGCAUGGUUGUCGUCAGCUCGUGUCGUGAGAUGUUGGGGUUAAGUCCCGCAACGAGCGCAACCCUCGUUCUAUGUUGCCAGCACGUGGAUGGUGGGAACUCAUAGGAGACUGCCGGGGUCACUCGGAGGAAAAGGUGGGGAUGACGUCAAAUCAUCAUGGCCCUU